GACGAACGCUGGCGGCGUGCUUAACACAUGCAAGUCGAACGGAAAGGCCCUGCUUUUGUGGGGUGCUCGAGUGGCGAACGGGUGAGUAACACGUGAGUAACCUGCCCUUGACUUUGGGAUAACUUCAGGAAACUGGGGCUAAUACCGGAUAGGAGCUCCUGCUGCAUGGUGGGGGUUGGAAAGUUUCGGCGGUUGGGGAUGGACUCGCAGCUUAUCAGCGUGUUGGUGGGGUAGUGGCUUACCAAGGCUUUGACGGGUAGCCGGCCUGAGAGGGUGACCGGCCACAUUGGGACUGAGAUACGGCCCAGACUCCUACGGGAGGCAGCAGUGGGGAAUAUUGCACAAUGGGCGGAAGCCUGAUGCAGCAACGCCGCGUGCGGGAUGACGGCCUUCGGGUUGUAAACCGCUUUCGCCUGUGACGAAGCGUGAGUGACGGUAAUGGGUAAAGAAGCACCGGCUAACUACGUG
rnacentral:rRNA from 1 species